rnacentral:lncRNA from 1 species
UAGAUAAACAGUACCCUCACUACUCUCCAAGGAGGCAAACUGCCCUUCUCUGCAACAUACAUGAUAAGUGCAUGUAGAAUUUAAAAUCCACUACUGAAAAGAAGUAGAUAUCUCAUCAAUUAUCUCCUGAACAUCAUCAUCUGACUCGCUAUUGGUCGUGACUGUAGUAGCCCUCUUCCAAUCCUUGAGUUGAGGGUAAUGUCUGGCUAGAUGCCCCAACUCAUCACACUGAUAACAUCCGGUCUUGCUUAAGUCUCUCAUCCUAGACUUGGACCGCCCUCAUCAUAAUCUCUUAUCACUUUGUCUACCACCUCUUACUCCUCCAGAAAUCACCAAAGUUGAGCAGCCGUCUGAGCUCGAAGCUGAGUUCUUCCUCCUGAUAACCUCAUUCUCAAGAAUCAUCAUGGUGAUUCAUCCAUCUUGAUGGUGCUCUUCCCCUCUAGAAGAGCUGUCAUCAAAGACUUAUAUGAAGGGGAAAGCGACACUAGCAAGAUCAGCAUCCUGAUCUUCUCCUUAACUUUCUCACCA